CCUUUUUCGGUACCCUUUCUGUUCAAUGGGUAGCAGCACACUUUUUUCCAAGUAUCUCUAUAGUUCACCGGCCAAAGCAACUGACAUUAGUUUCCACAUUAUUAUUAUUAUUAUUGUU